rnacentral:rRNA from 1 species
UACAGAGGUCUCAAGCGUUGUUCGGAUUCAUUGGGCGUAAAGGGUGUGUAGGUGGCGCCGUAAGUCGGGUGUGAAAUUUCGGAGCUUAACUCCGAAACUGCAUUCGAUACUGCGGUGCUUGAGGACUGGAGAGGAGACUGGAAUUCGAUGGUGUAGCAGUGAAAUGCGUAGAGAUCAUGAGGAAGACCAGUGGCGAAGGCGGGUCUCUGGACAGUUCCUGACACUGAGACACGAAGCCAGGGGAGCAAACGGG